rnacentral:rRNA from 1 species
UGACGUUGUAAAACGACGGCCAGUGAAUUGUAAUACGACUCACUAUAGGGCGAAUUGGGCCCUCUAGAUGCAUGCUCGAGCGGCCGCCAGUGUGAUGGAUAUCUGCAGAAUUCGGCUUCCUACGGGAGGCAGCAGUGGGGAAUUUUCCGCAAUGGGCGAAAGCCUGACGGAGCAAUACCGCGUGCGGGAGGAAGGCCCUUGGGUCGUAAACCGCUUUUCUUAGGGAAGAAACCUGACGGUACCUAAGGAAUAAGCCUCGGCUAACUCCGUGCCAGCAGCCGCGGUAAUAAGCCGAAUUCCAGCACACUGGCGGCCGUUACUAGUGGAUCCGAGCUCGGUACCAAGCUUGGCGUAAUCAUGGUCAUAGCUGUUUCCUGUGA